rnacentral:rRNA from 1 species
GACGAACGCUGGCGGCGUGCUUAACACAUGCAAGUCGAACGGAAAGGCCCUGCUUUUGUGGGGUGCUCGAGUGGCGAACGGGUGAGUAACACGUGAGUAACCUGCCCUUGACUUUGGGAUAACUUCAGGAAACUGGGGCUAAUACCGGAUAGGAGCUCCUGCUGCAUGGUGGGGGUUGGAAAGUUUCGGCGGUUGGGGAUGGACUCGCGGCUUAUCAGCUUGUUGGUGGGGUAGUGGCUUACCAAGGCUUUGACGGGUAGCCGGCCUGAGAGGGUGACCGGCCACAUUGGGACUGAGAUACGGCCCAGACUCCUACGGGAGGCAGCAGUGGGGAAUAUUGCACAAUGGGCGGAAGCCUGAUGCAGCAACGCCGCGUGCGGGAUGACGGCCUUCGGGUUGUAAACCGCUUUCGCCUGUGACGAAGCGUGAGUGACGGUAAUGGGUAAAGAAGCACCGGCUAACUACGUGCCAGCAGCCGCGGUGAUACGUAGGGUGCGAGCGUUGUCCGGAUUUAUUGGGCGUAAAGGGCUCGUAGGUGGUUGAUCGCGUCGGAAGUGUAAUCUUGGGGCUUAACCCUGAGCGUGCUUUCGAUACGGGUUGACUUGAGGAAGGUAGGGGAGAAUGGAAUUCCUGGUGGAGCGGUGGAAUGCGCAGAUAUCAGGAGGAACACCAGUGGCGAAGGCGGUUCUCUGGGCCUUUCCUGACGCUGAGGAGCGAAAGCGUGGGGAGCGAACAGGCUUAGAUACCCUGGUAGUCCACGCUGUAAACGGUGGGUACUAGGUGUGGGGUCCAUUCCACGGGUUCCGUGCCGUAGCUAACGCUUUAAGUACCCCGCCUGGGGAGUACGGCCGCAAGGCUAAAACUCAAAGGAAUUGACGAGGCCCCGCACAAGCGGCGGAGCAUGCGGAUUAAUUCGAUGCAACGCGUAGAACCUUACCUGGGUUUGACAUGGGUCGGGAGUGCUCAGAGAUGGGUGUGCCUCUUUUGGGGUCGGUUCACAGGUGGUGCAUGCCUGUCGUCAGCUCGUGUCGUGAGAUGUUGGGUUAAGUCCCGCAACGAGCGCAACCCUUGUUCACUGUUGCCAGCACGUUAUGGUGGGGACUCAGUGGAGACCGCCGGGGUCAACUCGGAGGAAGGUGGGGAUGACGUCAAGUCCUCAUGCCCCUUAUGUCCAGGGCUACACGCAUGCUACAAUGGCUGGUACAGAGAGUGGCGAGCCUGUGAGGGUGAGCGAAUCUCGGAAAGCCGGUCUCAGUUCGGAUUGGGGUCUGCAACUCGACCUCAUGAAGCCGGAGUCGCUAGUAAUCGCAGAUCAGCAACGCUGCGGUGAGUACGUUCCCGGGGCU